rnacentral:rRNA from 1 species
GUUCCUGUCCAACGUUAAUCGGGGCAGGGUGAGUCGACCCCUAAGGCGAGGCCGAAAGGCGUAGUCGAUGGGAAACAGGUUAAUAUUCCUGUACUUGGUGUUACUGCGAAGGGGGGACGGAGAAGGCUAUGUUGGCCGGGCGACGGUUGUCCCGGUUUAAGCGUGUAGGCUGGUUUUCCAGGCAAAUCCGGAAAAUCAAGGCUGAGGCGUGAUGACGAGGCACUACGGUGCUGAAGCAACAAAUGCCCUGCUUCCAGGAAAAGCCUCUAAGCAUCAGGUAACAUCAAAUCGUACCCCAAACCGACACAGGUGGUCAGGUAGAGAAUACCAAGGCGCUUGAGAGAACUCGGGUGAAGGAACUAGGCAAAAUGGUGCCGUAACUUCGGGAGAAGGCACGCUGAUAUGUAGGUGAAGUCCCUCGCGGAUGGAGCUGAAAUCAGUCGAAGAUACCAGCUGGCUGCAACUGUUUAUUAAAAACACAGCACUGUGCAAACACGAAAGUGGACGUAUACGGUGUGACGCCUGCCCGGUGC